ACAGGUGUGCCACCACCUGGCCCCGUUAAUAGAAUAUUUAUCCUGGGAGUCGGGCGGUAGCACAGUGGGAUAAGCACACGUGGUGCAAAGUGCAGACCGGCGUAAGGAUCCCAGUUGGAGCCCCAGCUCCCCACCUACAGGGGGAGUCGCUUCACAGGCGGUGAAGCAGGUCUGCAGGUGUCUAUCUUUCUCUCUCCCUCUCUGUCUUCCCCUCCUCUCUCCAUUUCUCUCUGUCCUAUCUAACAACGAAGACAUCAAUAGCAACAACAAUAACUACAACAACAACAAAAAAGACAAGGGCAACAAAAGGGAAAAUAAUUUAAAAAUUAAAAAAAUAUAUAUCCUAUUUUAGUGAGAGAUACAGGAAAGACAGACUGAGAGACACCAGAACACUUCUCAGCUCUGGUUUAUGGUGGUACUGGUGAUUGAACCUGGAACCUCUGGAGCCUCUGGUUUGAAAGUCUGGUGCCUAGUAGUACUAAGUACAAGGAUGCAGGUUCAAGUCUCCCAUUCCCCACCUGCAGAGGGGACACCUCAUAAGCAACAAAACAGAUCUUCAGGUUUCUCUCUCUUAUCCCCUCCUCCCCUCUUCAAUGUCUCUCUGUUGUAUUGAAUAAAAUGGAAAAAAUGGCUACAAGCCCAUCAA